UAAGAUUUUAAAGUAGGUAUAUUUAUUGUGGCACCGUGUGUGAGGGGGAUAAUUCCUUACUCGCACACACCAAGAACAGACGUGGUUACAUAUUUAAAGACAUAACAUAGACAUAUUUGUUACAUUCCAAAAAAAUGGGCUGGAAUUUUGAGAAAUUACUGACAUGUUGUACCACCUUCUUAAGCACGCGUCCUAAAGAUGUGGUGGGGGUCUCUGAUGGUUGUUGGAUGAAGGCUAAGUCUUUUUUGCUGUGAACAUUCAUCCUUUUCAGGGGGUUGCAUUGUGUCGCAACAGCAACUCUGCCUCGAUAUGUUCAUGGGACCCCCCAUGAAGACCCGGUGCAGGACUGCAUCCGCCUGAUGAGCUGUCAUCGUCGUUGUCCCUCUCCAACUCUCUCCACCACAGUGGGGAUUUUGCAAAGCUGAAGGCUUUCCACUUGGUGCCUGUGGGAUUUUGGGCCAUCUGGAACAACAGCCUUGCUGACCUUGUUCCAGAGCCGAAUGGGGCAUUGAGAAAGGCCCGGUCAGCACAGCCACUUGGAGGCACGGUGCUCAGCAUCAGUGGACCUGCUCUGCUGUCUUUCUUGUGCUGGGGGCCCCAGAAGUGGAUGCAGUGCGGCAGGUGGAGUCUUGUGAGAGCAGAGUAGAGGAGCAGAAUCACUUCCCCUGACCUGCUAAUCACGUUUGUCUUAAUGCAGCACAGGAAACGCUUGGCCUUGGGGGCUGCAAGUGCACGGUGCCGGCUCAUGUUGAGCCUUUCAUCAGCCAACACCCGCAGGACACUUUCCUCUUCACAGUCCUCCAGCCACUCAUCCCCAAGCCUAUAGCGCUGCAUGGGCUUGUUGUGGCCAAAGUGCAGGACCCGCCACUUGGCCUUGUUGACCUCUCCAGUUAAUCAGGAGGGCUGGUAGAUGGCCGAGAGCGGCUUGGCAGUCACCUCUGCCAGCUCCCUCAGGAGUCUGUGGAGAGGCUCUUCCUGUCCCCCGUGCUGUGCGCUGUCUUCCUGCACUGCUGGCUCCUGACAUUUUUCACAUGGUGCUGCAUGAGGAUCGUCAUAAGUCUCUCCAUUAAGGUUAUGUAGGCGUCCAUCUGGCAGAGCAGGUCAAGAGCAUUUAGGUUGUCCGUUUCCUCUGUUCCUAAGGAAGCUGGGUCCGCUUGUCCCGUUCUCUGAAAGUGAGAGAGCAUGGGCACAGUGAAAGGGAGGCAGGCUUGUUUUGCAGAGUAUCACCCUGCAGGGCUCCGACUGGUGUGGAGCAUUUCCAGCCUCGCAGGACUGCUCAGGGCAGCCCGUGGGGCUCACACUGCCUGUGGCACACCCUGUGUUGCUCAGGGGCCUCCCACUGUGUGACAGCCCUGUGGCUGGGCAAGUGCCUGGGGAGAGCUAACGGAUCUCUGGGGUCUGCUUUCCUUGGAUGUCUUCAAGUAUAUGGCCUUUAUGGUUCCCUGCUCCCCAGCCACGGUACCCUCCCUGCCCGAUGUAUCUUGAUUGCUCACCUGUCCCCGAGGUCUUCUUAAUCUUCUCCAGUGGGCACGGGCAGUUGUCAGCAGCCAGAGAAUGGAGAAAAUUGUCAAGGGAGCUGUAAGGAGCCAGGUUCUCCCUCUUUGCAUAAGGUAGUCCCAAAGGUGGCCCAGGAUGCCAGGCAAGCUAUAGG
ensembl:lncRNA